CUCAGGGAUCAGGCUGCUCCAUAUUCACUCUCUUUAAAAAGAUCAGCAUUCAUUUUCCUUUAAAGUUGGGGUUAGUCUGCCUGAGUUGCAUACAAAUAAGAUGAAUGAAUUCAUUACCAAAAGCUAGAUUAAGUUUUGCAGCUGUUCCGCCUGGGGAUCUAGUGGAGAGAGGGGCCAGCACAACUGAAAAUCCUUUACUGAUCAAGGCAGUCUGAAAAUGCAAUCUUACGCGCGCCUGAAUCUUCCCUGACUUCAUGAAGGAAUCAGUGAUGGCCAAGAGGAACACUAGCAGAGUAGCCAGGACAAGCGGGCAAUGAAACGGGCUGAUUGUAUUCAUGACUGUGGUCGUGACUGAGAGCUGCAGGCUCAUAUGUUGCCUGGAAGACCACCUGCUAAGUGUGAAGAUGGAUUAUGAACCAGGCAGCCAGAGUGAUGGAGGGCUGAGUGUUAAUGAGAAGAUGGAUGACUGUAUUUUUCCUUGGCAUGCAGUGGUUUCAGAGAGAGCUCUUUACUGCCGUCCCAUGGAGAAUCAAUGAAUGGCUGUGGCUGUGAGUUAGGAGGCACUGCUAGCUCUCCCACUAAGCAGGUAAGUGUGGGCACAUUGCAUAAUCUGGGGUAAGUUAAUUUGUGUGGGCCUCAGUUUCCU
rnacentral:lncRNA from 1 species